AGUCCCGCAACGAGCGCAACCCUUAUCCUUUGUUGCCAGCGAGUGAUGGCGGGAACUCAAAGGAGACUGCCGGUGAUAAACCGGAGGAAGGUGGGGAUGACGUCAAGUCAUCAUGGCCCUUACGAGUAGGGCUACACACGUGCUACAAUGGCGCAUACAAAGAGAAGCGACCUCGCGAGAGCAAGCGGACCUCACAAAGUGCGUCGUAGUCCGGAUCGGAGUCUGCAACUCGACUCCGUGAAGUCGGAAUCGCUAGUAAU
rnacentral:rRNA from 1 species